rnacentral:rRNA from 1 species
AACGAACGCUGGCGGCAUGCCUAACACAUGCAAGUCGAACGAGACCUUCGGGUCUAGUGGCGCACGGGUGCGUAACGCGUGGGAACCUGCCCUUAGGUUCGGAAUAACUCCCCGAAAGGGGUGCUAAUACCGGAUAAUGUCUUCGGACCAAAGAUUUAUCGCCUUUGGAUGGGCCCGCGUUGGAUUAGCUAGUUGGUAGGGUAAAAGCCUACCAAGGCGACGAUCCAUAGCUGGUCUGAGAGGAUGAUCAGCCACACUGGGACUGAGACACGGCCCAGACUCCUACGGGAGGCAGCAGUGGGGAAUAUUGGACAAUGGGCGAAAGCAUGAUCCAGCAAUGCCGCGUGAGUGAUGAAGGCCUUAGGGUUGUAAAGCUCUUUUACCCGGGAUGAUAAUGACAGUACCGGGAGAAUAAGCACCGGCUAACUCCGUG